GUUCCUGUAGCUGAAGUGGUUAGAGCGUCCGCAUCGGAUGCGGGAGGUAGCGGGUUCGAACCCCGGAUGAGUCA